rnacentral:rRNA from 1 species
GAUGAACGCUGGCGGCGUGCUUAACACAUGCAAGUCGAACGGAGACAGCAGCAAUGUUGUUUUAGUGGCGGACGGGCGAGUAACGCGUGAGCAAUCUGCCUUGUACUGGGGGAUAACGUCGAGAAAUCGGCGCUAAUACCGCAUAAGACUCCGAGGUCGCAUGGCCUUGCAGUCAAAACUCCGGUGGUACAAGUUGAGCUCGCGUCCAAUUAGCUAGUUGGUGGGGUAACGGCCAACCAAGGGGACGAUUGGUAGCCGAAUUGAGAGAUUGACCGGCCGCAUUGGGACUGAGACACGGCCCAGACUCCUACGGGAGGCAGCAGUGGGGAAUAUUGGGCAAUGGGCGAAAGCCUGACCCAGCAACGCCGCGUGAGAGAUGACGGCCUUCGGGUUGUAAACCUCUUUUAGUAGGGAAGAAGCGAAAGUGACGGUACCUGCAGAAAAAGCACCGGCUAACUACGUGCCAGCCGCCGCCGUAAAAC